GCGGGACCGGGAAAAAGAACGGGGAAAAGGAACCAGGAAAAAGAACCGGGACCGGGAAAAGGAACCAGAAUGGGACCGGGAUCGGAGGCAGCCAACAGCGCCAACGGGAGCAGGCAGAAGCCCUCGGCGGUGUCGGGGAUCCCUGCUCUCCAUCCCACUGCUCCUGACCAGGUGUGGCCGGAACGGGACAUUGCAGCGCUGUUUUCCCAACACAAACUGGUAGCAGGAACAAAGAGCUGCUUCCAGAGGGACCCGCAGCAGCCAGGAGACCUUGGCACCCAGGGGUGCUCCUGCUUUGGAGGAGGAUUCGCUGCGUCCUUGGAUCCCGCAGCUCCCGGGGAUGAACCGCAGCGGGCAGAGCCUGGGACGGGUCCGGAUCCUGCUCGGGGUCUGCAGGAGCUUCCUUCUGCCUGGGGAGAUGGGCGUUAACAAACCAUUACAGACCAUUACAGACCGUUACAAACAGUUACAAACCAUUACAAACCAUUACAAACAGUUACAAACCACUGGGGGGGGGGGGGGGGGGGGGGGGGGGGGGGGGGGGGGGGGGGGGGGGGGGGGGGGGGGGGGG
rnacentral:lncRNA from 12 species